AACGAACGCUGGCGGCAGGCCUAACACAUGCAAGUCGAGCGCCCUUUCGGGGGAGCGGCGGACGGGUGAGUAACGCGUGGGAAUAUGCCCUUCUCUACGGAAUAUCCUCGGGAAACUGAGAGUAAUACCGUAUACGCCCUGUGGGGGAAAGAUUUAUCGGGGAAGGAUUAGCCCGCGUUGGAUUAGGUAGUUGGUGGGGUAAUGUCCUACCAAGCCGACGAUCCAUAGCUGGUUUGAGAGGAUGAUCAGCCACACUGGGACUGAGACACGGCCCAGACUCCUACGGGAGGCAGCAGUGGGGAAUCGUAGACAAUGGGGGCAACCCUGAUCUAGCCAUGACGCGUGAGUGAUGAAGGCCUUAGGGUUGUAAAGCUCUUUCAGCUGGGAAGAUAAUGACGGUACCAGCAGAAGAAGCCCCGGCUAACUCCGUG
rnacentral:rRNA from 1 species